AUACUAUUCAUGGCGGCGCAUAAGUGACAUUCUUCGACCCGUUAAGAUCGAGCAAUCGAUCGCUGUUCAAACAUUUCUUCGAUUAUAUGGAAUGGUUCCCUACUCUUACGCGAGAUUAAAACUACGCUUUAUACGGUGAAGUUAUUCGUCGAGAGGCUUGAAUGCCGGUCGCGUGUGAAUUCUUAUCUGGAACUCAUAAUAUAACUCUUUGGAACUUGACGAAACAACGGUGAAAUUACGUUACUGUUGUCGUCUGCCUCAUUUCUCGAAAAAGAGAAAAGGGAAGACGAGACGGUUAUUGCGGCUAUUGAGGAAAAGUGAUGGAAAGACGAUCGAAAAAUAAUUGCUCGAUCGAUGGAGAUGUCAAUGGAAAAAUAGGUUAUGGAACGUAUAUGUACGUAAAAUCAUAAAAAGUUAUACAUACCUGUAUAUUUAUAUUUUAGAUUAUAUUUUAUCUAGUUGAAAUUUGAAGUCUGAAUCAGGAAUUAUGUAAGAGAUUAUAAUUUUUAUUAUAAGCACAAAAUUCCGUUUAGUUAGAUUCAUAAAGAAUAGUAGCACAAAUUGAUUACCAAUGAAAAAUCGUGUAAUAUAUUUAAGAUAACUAUGAAUCUAAAAGAUUGCAAGUUAGAAUUUAAUUUAUCUAUGUAUUUUGCAUUAUUAAUAAAUUUAGAUUAAAAGCUUAGAAAGAAAUUAAUAUUUAUAUAUAUAUGUAAUUUGCUAUUCUAUACUAUAUUGAUUUUGUAGUUCAUUUCUAAAAUAUAUAUUCUUUCUGGUAUUUAGAAAAAUAAUUCGUUAAUCAAAUUCACAUUUUAAUAAAAUUUUAACAUUUUGGAAAAUUUACAUAUCAUUAUUUAAAGCAACUUUUAUUUCAUUUAAAAUAAAUAACAAAAAGAAAUAUUAUUACAUUAGAUAAUUAUUUCCUGACAAUAUCAAAAUUUUCUAAAACUUUUAAAACUUCGCUUCGAGCAUCGCAAGUGAAACAAUUAACCGCACAAAAUUCCUCGCUCUAUCACGUUACCGAUCACGAUUAUUUUCGCAGAUAAUUGGAUUAUUACUCGCGGCGGUCAUCUCAUAAAAAUUAACCGCUUCAUUCGUAUCGCUGCCAUCGAUCAUUCAUUAUCCUUUUUUUCUUUUCCGAUAAAAUUCGUGUAUGUAGAAAUUAUCGCCAGGAUCCAGUGCCGCCUCUCGAUAGGCGGAAUCGACGGACGAGCGACCAAGUGCCGAAAAAGUAGAUCAACCAUGUAUUACUCGCUCGUAUAUUAUGUUUAAUGACGAUCCCUUCUCCUACGUUUCGAGUAAUUUUACGCGAUACUCAAUACUCGUGAUCGCCGCGGUUAUAUAUGCGGACCUAUCAUGGAGAAAUUGCGUCGGACAGUAGCCUGAAGGCCUGUGCAUGUCGUGACGUCGAAUGAUCGAUAAUUUAUGAAAAUGUUUAUAAAAAUUGUGUUAUGGAAUAUUUAUGAGUAAAUUUUUGAAAAUUUAUGUCUAUAAUUGUUGUUAUAAAUGUUUGUGAAGAUGUGUGAUACAAAUAUUUUUGAAAACUUGUAAAAAUUUGAAAAUUUUUUUUAAUUGAAAGGUGUUUUAUGAAGAUUUAUAAUACAAAUGUUUAUGAAAAUUUUAUAAUUUUUAUGUGAGGUGAAAGAUUUUAUAAUGAUAAGAAGAAAAUAUGUGUUCUAGAGAAGUAAAGUAUAAUGGAUUCUCUAUGAUGAUGAGAAA